CUGUUAUCAAAAACAUAACUGUAGGGGUUAUCUACAGCGAUUUCUGCUCAAUGUUAAUAUUAAUAGCCGCAGUACCCUGACUGUGCUAAGGUAGCAUAAUCAAUAGGCUUAUAAUUGAAGUCUUGUAUGAAUGAAUCUCGGGGGGUUUACUGUCUCUAAGGAACUAUUAGAAUUUUUUUAAAAAGUGCAAAAACUUUUACACCAACAAUAGACGAGAAGACCCUAGAAAUUUUUUAAAAAUAUUUUGUUGGGGCGACAAGGUAACAGUUAACUUACCUGAAUAAUAUGAAGUGUUAUUACAGUAGAAAAAAAUUACUCUAGGGAUAACAGCAUAAUUUUUAAAAGUUUGUGACCUCGAUGUUGGACUAGGGUCCUUAAAGUUUAGAAGAUUUUAGAGGAAGCUCUGUUCGAGCAAUUAUACCUACAUGAUCUGGAUUCAGACCG
rnacentral:rRNA from 1 species